GUUUGAUCAUGGCUCAGAACGUACGCUGGCGGCACGCCUAACACAUGCAAGUCGAACGAAGUAGCAAUACUUAGUGGCAGACGGGUGAGUAACAUGUGGGUAUCUACCCUUUGGCCUGGAAUAACACGAGGAAACUUGUGCUAAUACUGGAUAAGUCUUUACGGAGAAAGCUUUAUGCACCAUUGGAUGAGCCCGCACUUGAUUAGUUUGUUGGUGGGGUAAUGGCCUACCAAGACUGUGAUCAAUAGCUGAUUUGAGAGGAUGAUCAGCCACAUUGGGACUGAGACACGGCCCAAACUCCUACGGGAGGCAGCAGUGGGGAAUCUUGCACAAUGGAGGAAACUCUGAUGCAGCGAUGCCGCGUGAGUGAAGAAGGCCCUUGGGUUGUAAAGCUCUUUCGUCGGGGAAGAAAAUGACUGUACCCGAAUAAGAAGGUCCGGCUAACUUCGUGCCAGCAGCCGCGGUAAUACGAAGGGACCUAGCGUAGUUCGGAAUUACUGGGCUUAAAGAGUUCGUAGGUGGUUGAAAAAGUUGGUGGUGAAAUCCCAGAGCUUAACUCUGGAACUGCCAUCAAAACUUUUCAGCUAGAGUUUGAUAGAGGAAAGCAGAAUUUCUAGUGUAGAGGUGAAAUUCGUAGAUAUUAGAAAGAAUACCAAUUGCGAAGGCAGCUUUCUGGAUCAUUACUGACACUGAGGAACGAAAGCAUGGGUAGCGAAGAGGAUUAGAUACCCUCGUAGUCCAUGCCGUAAACGAUGUGUGUUAGACGU
rnacentral:rRNA from 1 species